AUGAACAUGGCUGUGAAUGCAUUUCUUAGAGCUGCAAGCUGGAAUGUUGAUUGGGUGAGACCCCCACCAGGGAGCUCAAGCACUGCACCACAAGGAAAUCAAACCCCUCGUGUCUCACUCCUGCCAGUCCCCAGUAAAGGACAUUUCCUGGGCACCUUUUCCGUGGGGGAAUUCCUGCUGACAAAAUUCCUGCUCAAGGGGCCAUCCCCAAAAGCUGGGCCCAUUCUAAAGCCAGGCUUUAUGUUGGGCCCCGGCUCAGCACCACAGCACAGCCCCAGGAUCCAGAUGUGUGCACAGCUGGGUGUGCAGGAGGAUCCAAAAGCUUUGCUGGUGGGGAAACCUGCUGGGACCUGUUUCCCCACAGCUGCUGGCAGAGCAGGAAGGGGCAGAGGAGGGAGGGAAACGCUGUGUGGGAAAUAAAGAAUGUUUACAGGGAGAAGCUUCGGGAGCUCUGGGUAAUGAGCUGGCGUUCGUUAGGAACCCUCGUUGUGUCAAAACCCCCGAAAUCCAAUCCUGGCAGAAAACCCAUCGUGCAAACUAAUGACUCAGACUGGAAGUGAGCGAUCCCAGCCUGACGGCGGAGUGAGGGUUUUAGAGGCAAUUAACCGCUGGGACGGGCUAGCAGAGCAGAGCAGGGCUCCUGGUCCCUGGGCCACCCCCAGCCCCUGCUCGGGCUGAGUGGUCAGGAAGGGCUUUCUGGGACACAGGCAGGGGAAAAUGCCUUUUCUCCCAGGCCAGAGGGGUGCAGGGCUCUGCUGAAGCACCGUUGUGCCACAGCCACGGGCUCUUCUGAGGAUUUCCUGGACCCAGACCUCCCUUCCUGGCUGGUACUGGGCUCUCCGUGCGAUUCAUUCUGCUCUUCAAAACCGGUAUUUGAUUUUAAUGCCAAAAAUCUGAUUUCUUUGGUGACCCAAGUGAAAGCUGCUGUGUGCAGCAAUGGGAUUGAGACUAUUCUAAUGCAGCUGCAGGUAUGGAAAAAAAUGCCAAAGCUGCUCAGGGGCAGCUGGACCUUUGCUGCCACUGGCACCCCUGUGGCACAGCUGGGCUGGCUCCAGCUCCUCGUGGCAGCUCCAGGCACUGCUCUGCCUUCCCCCACACUUAUCUGGGAAACAAUUUACUCCUGUGUGCUCUGCUCACAAACCCAGAAAUCCGUGCCACAGCGAACAUUUCACAGUCGGUUCUGUCUGCAGUUGUGAGAGUCGGGACUUUGGAGCAGCAGGGAUUUCUGCCAGCGAUGCCUUUGUGCUCCUGCUCCUCUCCUGGCAGCGUGGGGUCCCUGCUGAUGGCUCUGGGGGCAAUUAGAGAGGAGCAGGUCGAUGUCCUGGAGAGCAGCUCGCUGUCCCUGGGGAGCCCGGGCUCCCCCACAUCCUGAUUAACGAGCUCCACCUUCCAAACUGCCCAGAAUCUCAGGCUCUGUAACUCCUUCCACCUUCCAAACUGCCCAGAAUCUCAGGCUCUGUAACUCCUUCCACCUUCCAAACUGCCCAGAAUCUCAGGCUCUGUAACUCCUUCCACCUUCCAAACUGCCCAGAAUCUCAGGCUCUGUAACUCCUUCCACCUUCCAAACUGCCCAGAAUCUCAGGCUCUGUAACUCCUUCCACCUUCCAAACUGCCCAGAAUCUCAGGCUCUGUAACUCCUUCCACCUUCCAAACUGCCCAGAAUCUCAGGCUCUGUAACUCCUUCCACCUUCCAAACUGCCCAGAAUCUCAGGCUCUGUAACUCCUUCCACCUUCCAAACUGCCCAGAAUCUCAGGCUCUGUAACUCCUUCCACCUUCCAAACUGCCCAGAAUCUCAGGCUCUGUAACUCCUUCCACCUUCCAAACUGCCCAGAAUCUCAGGCUCUGUAACUCCUUCCACCUUCCAAACUGCCCAGAAUCUCAGGCUCUGUAACUCCUUCCACCUUCCAAACUGCCCAGAAUCUCAGGCUCUGUAACCCUUCCACCUUCCAAACUGCCCAGAAUCUCAGGCUCUGUAACUCCUUCCACCUUCCAAACUGCCCAGAAUCUCAGGCUCUGUAACUCCUUCCACCUUCCAAACUGCCCAGAAUCUCAGGCUCUGUAACUCCUUCCACCUUCCAAACUGCCCAGAAUCUCAGGCUCUGUAACUCCUUCCACCUUCCAAACUGCCCAGAAUCUCAGGCUCUGUAACUCCUUCCACCUUCCAAACUGCCCAGAAUCUCAGGCUCUGUAACUCCUUCCACCUUCCAAACUGCCCAGAAUCUCAGGCUCUGUAACUCCUUCCACCUUCCAAACUGCCCAGAAUCUCAGGCUCUGUAACUCCUUCCACCUUCCAAACUGCCCAGAAUCUCAGGCUCUGUAACUCCUUCCACCUUCCAAACUGCCCAGAAUCUCAGGCUCUGUAACUCCUUCCACCUUCCAAACUGCCCAGAAUCUCAGGCUCUGUAACUCCUUCCACCUUCCAAACUGCCCAGAAUCUCAGGCUCUGUAACUCCUUCCACCUUCCAAACUGCCCAGAAUCUCAGGCUCUGUAACUCCUUCCACCUUCCAAACUGCCCAGAAUCUCAGGCUCUGUAACUCCUUCCACCUUCCAAACUGC
rnacentral:lncRNA from 12 species